rnacentral:snRNA from 1 species
AAGUUAAUUCCCUUAAUGAAGUCC